rnacentral:rRNA from 1 species
AGCAGCCGCGGUAAUUCCAGCUCCAAUAGCGUAUAUUAAAGUUGCUGCAGUUAAAAAGCUCGUAGUUGAAUUUCGGGACCAUCAUGUCGGUCGUGCCUCGGUACGUACUGGUAUUGUUGGUUUCUCCCUUCUGACGAACCAUGAUGUCAUUUAUUUGGUGUUGUGGGGAUUCAGGACUGUUACUUUGAAAAAAUUAGAGUGUUUAAAGCAGGCUCACGCUUGAAUACAUUAGCAUGGAAUAAUGAAAUAGGACGUUUGAUUCUAUUUUGUUGGUUUCUAGGAUCGACGUAAUGAUUAAUAGGGAUAGUUGGGGGCAUUAGUAUUCAAUUGUCAGAGGUGAAAUUCUUGGAUUUAUUGAAGACUAACUACUGCGAAAGCAUUUGCCAAGGAUGUUUUCAUUAAUCAAGAACGAAAGUUAGGGGAUCGAAGACGAUCAGAUACCGUCGUAGU